UACGUAGGGUGCAAGCGUUAAUCGGAAUUACUGGGCGUAAAGCGUGCGCAGGCGGUUAUGUAAGACAGAUGUGAAAUGCCCGGGCUUAACCUGGGAACUGCAUUUGUGACUGCAUGGCUAGAGUUUGGCAGAGGGGGGUAGAAUUCCACGUGUAGCAGUGAAAUGCGUAGAUAUGUGGAGGAACACCGAUGGCGAAGGCAGCCCCCCUGGGUCAAGACUGACGCUCAUGCACGAAAGCGUGGG
rnacentral:rRNA from 1 species